rnacentral:rRNA from 1 species
GACGAACGCUGGCGGCGUGCUUAACACAUGCAAGUCGAACGGUAAGGCCCUUCGGGGUACACGAGUGGCGAACGGGUGAGUAACACGUGGGUGAUCUGCCCUGCACUUCGGGAUAAGCCUGGGAAACUGGGUCUAAUACCGGAUAGGACCCUGGGAUGCAUGUCCUGGGGUGGAAAGCUUUUGCGGCGUGGGAUGGGCCCGCGGCCUAUCAGCUUGUUGGUGGGGUGAUGGCCUACCAAGGCGACGACGGGUAGCCGGCCUGAGAGGGUGACCGGCCACAAUGGGACUGAGAUACGGCCCAGACUCCUACGGGAGGCAGCAGUGGGGAAUAUUGCACAAUGGGCGCAAGCCUGAUGCAGCGACGCCGCGUGAGGGGUGACGGCCUUCGGGUUGUAAACCUCUUUCAGCACCGACGAAGCGCAAGUGACGGUAGGUGCAGAAGAAGGACCGGCCAACUACGUGCCAGCAGCCGCAGUAA